rnacentral:rRNA from 1 species
AGGUAGUAUUAACAAUUAAAACCUAAUUAUAUUUGGCGGCUAUUAUUCUAUUAGAGGAACUUGUUUAAUAAUCGACACACCCCGAUCCAUUUUACUUUAAAAAUAAGCUUUUAUAUCGCCAUUUUUAGAAAAUUUUCUAAAAAUUUUUCAAAAUAACUAUAAUAAUUUAGGUCAAGGUGUAGUUUAUAUUAAAGAUCAAAUGAGUUACACUUAAAAAUAUUAAAAGAAAAUAUUUCAAAUAUAAAAUUAAAUAGGAUUUAUAAGUACUUAUAAAUUAAAGAUUUCUAAUGAAGAAUUAAUAAAAGUGC